rnacentral:rRNA from 1 species
UAGGGAAUAUUGGACAAUGGGCGAAAGCCUGAUCCAGCAAUGCCGCGUGAGUGAUGAAGGCCUUAGGGUUGUAAAGCUCUUUUACCCGAGAUGAUAAUGACAGUAUCGGGAGAAUAAGCCCCGGCUAACUCCGUGCCAGCAGCCGCGGUAAUACGGAGGGGGCUAGCGUUGUUCGGAAUUACUGGGCGUAAAGCGCACGUAGGCGGCGAUUUAAGUCAGAGGUGAAAGCCUGGAGCUCAACUCCAGAACUGCCUUUGAGACUGGAUUGCUAGAAUCCUGGAGAGGUGAGUGGAAUUCCGAGUGUAGAGGUGAAAUUCGUAGAUAUUCGGAAGAACACCAGUGGCGAAGGCGGCUCACUGGACAGGUAUUGACGCUGAGGUGCGAAAGCGUGGGGAGCAAACA